rnacentral:rRNA from 1 species
CCUACGGGCGGCAGCAGUGAGGAAUAUUGGUCAAUGGCCGGAAGGCUGAACCAGCCAUGCCGCGUGAAGGGCAGGGCCCUAUGGGCGUUAAACUUCUUUUGUGCGGGAGCAAUAAUGGUCACGUGUGGCCAGACGAGAGUACCGUACGAAUAAGCAUCGGCUAACUCCGUGCCAGCAGCCGCGGUAAUACGGGGGAUGCAAGCGUUAUCCGGAUUUAUUGGGUUUAAAGGGUGCGUAGGCUGUGAGGUAAGUCAGCGGGGAAAUGCCCCCGCUCAACGGGGUGAAGUGCCAUUGAUACUGCCUUGCUGGAAUGCGGAUGCCGUGGGAGGAAUGUGUGGUGUAGCGGUGAAAUGCAUAGAUAUCACACAGAACACCGAUUGCGAAGGCAUCUCACGAAUCCGCGAUUGACGCUGAUGCACGAAAGCGUGGGUAUCAAACAGGAUUAGAUACCCUUGUAGUC